UGCCCUUUGUCCUCAUUUCACCAUCCCCCAACUUGCAGAUGGCCAUCACUGGAACACUCUUCACUGACAAGGAAAUGAAAUGUCUGGAUGCCUCUGACGGCAAGGUGAAGUUCGAAGAGGAGCCAGGAGAGGAUAUGUACAACGAGUCCCCGUUGCCAUGAACACAACCUUUCACUUCUCAACUCACUGCGAGGACCCAGUGAACUCAAACAAUGCUUUAAUAGGGACCGGUGUCUAACACAUUUAUUAGUAUAUGCCAUCAAAAAAUAUUCUUUAGGAAAAUGUAUUUUAGCCAACUGUCCUGAAACCUCAUUGCAAUUGGGUAUGUUUGUGUGCCAAAGCUAAAAUGAAGGUCUCGGGUAAGCAUUCAAACCUUUUUAAUGACAGGUAGCCUAAUAUUCUACACUAUUAAUAUGACAAUUAACAUUUAUCUCUCACAUACCCAAAUAAUGCCAAAAAUAUAAUCCCAUCAGUAUUAGGCAGAUAAAUAGAUAAAUGCAAUAUUAUAAGUCACACCGAAAAUGCUUUUCUAUGGGACUGUUAUUUUAGCCUUGGUUCUAUAGCCUAGUUUAUACCCUAGUUACAUUACUUCUCCUUUGUUACAGUUUGGUUUUAUGCUUCAUUGUGAUUAAUUGUGUGCUUAUUGAAUGAAAGUAUUUUGUAGAUUACCUUUGUUCUUGCUGUUUUGUUUAGUUGCAAGCUAAAGUGCGAGUAUGGAGUUAAAAUCAUCUUAGUUCUAUUUUUGGGUGUCAAGUGGUGUCACUCAUUCAGUUCUUAUACCUAAAUACAUAUUUACUUCAGGAUGUAAUGCUUUCGGGAUGGCAAAGGUGAGAGGGAUACAUAUAGGAAAAUUAUUGAUUAAUCACUGAAUGAAUUGUAACAAUAUAAUGAUGAUGUGGGGAGAAAGUGUAAAUAUGACAAAUGAAUCACAGCAAUAAGAUCUGACUAUAGGCCUAUUGCACUAUUUUUUUCAUUGAUCAGGGACAGGUGUAAAAGGACAGCUGUAUAUUUGGUUUAUUGUAUGUGGAUGUGUGUUUGAAUCACUGUACAACUGCUGUUUUGAUUUUCACCCAACCAAUUAAAGACAUUUAAACCCUUUAA